rnacentral:sRNA from 1 species
UAUUAUAAUAUAACUCUACAAAGUUGAACAUAGGCUGAGUCUCUAUGCCUUGAAUGGAGCACUGGAUUGGAUACCCGGGAAACCGGCGCUUCCAUUUAUAAGAAGUUAAAUUACUGGAAGCGUCUGUAAGGUUACAACACAAGUCACUGAUAAUUCUGAUGAAUAUUUCAAGUUACUGACAUCUGC